CGAGCCGGGCGGACGGCCGCGUGGAGUCCCCUUAGGGGGCUUCCCGAGGAACGUCCGGGCUCCACAGGGCAGGGUGGUGGCUAACGGCCACCCGGGGUGACCCGCGGGACAGUGCCACAGAGAACAGACCGCCCGGCGCUCAGGCGCCGGGUAAGGGUGAAACGGUGGUGUAAGAGACCACCAGCGCCUGAGGUGACUCAGGCGGCUAGGUAAACCCCACCCGGAGCAAGGUCAAAAGGAAGCACCCCGGUGCUUCUGCGUGGACGUUCGAGGGCUGCCCGCCCGAGUCCGCGGGUAGACCGCACGAGGCCGGUGGCAACACCGGUCCUAGAUGGAUGGCCGUCGCCGGUGGGUCCGCGAGGACCCACCGGAACAGAACCCGGCGUACAGCCCGGCUCGUCUG
rnacentral:RNase_P_RNA from 1 species